CUGAACUCCUACUGUCAGAAAGCAGUGCCUUUGCAAUCAUUCAGAUUUCAGAAUUGAAAAAGAAAAUUUGGAUAUUUAUUAGCCUUUGGUCUUGACCUUCUGCUUGGUCUUCUUCGUGAAGGGGAAGGUGUUGCAGCUCGUGUCCUGGAGAAUUUGGGUGUAGAUGCUAGCAACAUACGGACACAGGUAAUGCCGAGUCUGUUUUUUAGAAAUGUCGAGUCUGUUUGUUGUUGUCUUUGUUUGUCUCUCGUCUGAUCACGCUUUGUAAUUCAUCAAUCGUUUGGUUAAGUUAUAAAACUUGAACUUGUUGUUGUCU